rnacentral:rRNA from 1 species
UACAGGAGGUCCCAAGCGUUUGUUCGGAUUCACUGGGCGUAAAGGGUGCGUAGGCGGUCGGGUAAGUCUGAUGUGAAAUCUCACAGUUUAACUGUGAAACUGCAUUGGAUACUAUCCGGCUCGAGGAAUGGAGGGGAGACUGGAAUACUUGGUGUAGCAGUGAAAUGCGUAGAUAUCAAGUGGAACACCAGUGGCGAAGGCGAGUCUCUGGACAUUUCCUGACGCUGAGGCACGAAAGCCAGGGGAGCAAACGGG